rnacentral:rRNA from 1 species
UACGAAGGGGGCUAGCGUUGUUCGGAUUCAUUGGGCGUAAAGGGUGCGUAGGCGGUCGGGUAAGUCGGAUGUGAAAUCCCAGGGCUCAACCCUGGAACUGCAUUCGAUACUGCCUGGCUAGGGUACUGGAGAGGAGACUGGAAUUUACGGUGUAGCGGUGAAAUGCGUAGAUAUCGUAAGGAAGACCAGUGGCGAAGGCGGGUCUCUGGACAGUUCCUGACGCUGAGGCACGAAGGCCAGGGGAGCAAACGGG